rnacentral:rRNA from 1 species
UACGGGGGGGGCAAGCGUUGUUCGGAAUUACUGGGCGUAAAGGGCUCGUAGGCGGCCAACUAAGUCAGACGUGAAAUCCCUCGGCUUAACCGGGGAACUGCGUCUGAUACUGGAUGGCUUGAGUUCGGGAGAGGAAUGCGGAAUUCCAGGUGUAGCGGUGAAAUGCGUAGAUAUCUGGAGGAACACCGGUGGCGAAGGCGGCAUUCUGGACCGAUACUGACGCUGAGGAGCGAAAGCCAGGGGAGCAAACGGG